GACGAACGCUGGCGGCGUGCUUAACACAUGCAAGUCGAACGAUGACACAGGAGCUUGCUCCUCUGGCUUAGUGGCGGACGGGUGAGUAACACGUGAGCAAUCUUCUCCUCACUCCGGAAUAACUUCGGGAAACUGUAGCUAAUACAGGAUAUCAGCCGACCAGGCAUCUGAAUCGGUGGGAAAGAAUUCCGGUCAGGGAUGAGUUCGCGGCCUAUCAGCUUGUUGGUGAGGUAUCGGCUCACCGAGGCGACGACGGGUAGCCGGCCUGGGAGGGUGACCGGGCACAUGGGGACUGAGAGACGCCCCAGAGGGCAACGGGAGACAGCAGUGGGGAAUAUUGCACAAUGGGAGCAAGUGUGAUGCAACAACGUCGCGUUAGGAAAGACGGCCUGUGGGGAGUAAACCGCUUUUAGCAGAGAAGAAGCUAAUGUGACGGUACCUGAAGAAAAAGCGCCGGCUAACUACGUG
rnacentral:rRNA from 1 species